AUACGGAGGGUGCAAGCGUUACUCGGAAUCACUGGGCGUAAGGCGCGCGCAGGCGGCUUGAUAAGUUGGAUGUGAAAGCCUACGGCUCAACCGUAGAACUGCAUCCAAAACUGUCAGGCUAGAGUGUGGGAGAGGAAGAUGGAAUUAGUUGUGUAGGGGUAAAAUCCGUAGAGAUAACUAGGAAUACCAAAAGCGAAGGCAAUCUUCUGGAACACUACUGACGCUGAGGCGCGAAGGCGUGGGGAGCAAACAGGAUUAGAAACCCCGGUAGUCC
rnacentral:rRNA from 1 species